GUUGGCCAUUACCUGCAGCUAAUGAGCUCCAAAAAGAGUGAAACCACUUAGGUCCUGUCAUACUGGCCUGUAAGCAU
rnacentral:hammerhead_ribozyme from 2 species